rnacentral:rRNA from 1 species
GGACUACUGGGGUAUCUAAUCCUGUUUGCUCCCCACGCUUUCGCAGUUGAGUGUCAGUAUCUGUCCAGGUCGCCGCCUUCGCCUCUGGUGUUCCUCCCGAUCUCUACGCAUUUCACCGCUACACCGGGAAUUCCACGACCCUCUCCAGAACUCGAGUCUCACCGUUUCUGACGCACUUCUUGAGUUAAGCCCAAGGCUUUCACAUCAGACAAAUGAGACCACCUACUUGCCCUUUACGCCCAAUGAUUCCGAGCAACGCUUGCACCCUCUGUAUUACCGCGGCUGCUGGCAC